rnacentral:misc_RNA from 1 species
GAAAUGCGAUAAGCAAUGCGAAUUGCAGAACCGUGAGUCAUCAGAUUUUUGAACGCAACUGGCGCUGGCUGGGUCUCCAGCCAGCAUGCUUGUUUCAGUGUCUUAUUUUCUCCUCACCCAAAACUUAAUGCGAGAGAUACCCUUCUCUUGCUAAGCAUGAAAGCACUCUGCGCUCUGCGAGCGACUUCCUGACUCGUUCAGGUGUCGCACUCAAUGCAGCCGUCACAUUUCUAACAAUGUGAACUCAUUGAGAGCAGAGGCAUUCAGCUCACGCUGUCAGUGCUUAGUCACUCAAACUUUCUUUGCAUCUGAAAUCAAGCAGGAUCACCCGCUGAACUUAA